ACAAUGACAAACUUUGGACUUUUAUCAGGAUAAUUAAAAAUAAGCAAAACUCUAUCCCUAUUUUGAAAAAAAAAAGAUAAUCAAAACCUUAUCACGGCUACCGAAAAAUGUGAUGUGUUAAAAAAAGUAUUUGAAUCAGCCCACACUUUAACAACAAAUUAUAAAAGUACUGUUGAUCGUCAAGUAAAGGAAAAAAUAGGAGUUUCCGCAAUGAUAUCGAUCAGAUAACACAAAAUAAUUUUGAAUUAAUUAAACCAAAAGACAUUGCUAUAAUCUUACGACGACUAAAAACAAAAAAAUCUACAGGACACGACCAGGUAAAUAAUAAUGCAAUCAAAAGGUUACCCAGGAAAGCCAUAAUAUAUCUUAACUUUAUAUUUAAUGGUUGUCUGAAACUUGGUUAUUUUCCAAAAACUUGGAAUAUAGCUAAAGUUAUUGCUAUUCCAAAACCGGGUAAAGAUCAUACCCAGACUGCAUAUGACAGCCAAAAGACGUCUUUCGGUAAAACUUUUCGUCUUCCCGUCGGACUGCCGAUAGUCCGACUUUUUAACGCUAUGGUUUGACCGAUUUUGACAGGCCAUAUCUGAUGUCAGAUGUCAUUCGGCAGAUGUCAUUCAAGUGGUGUAUAUUUUUUAUUGACGGUGUAAUGCAAUGUCCAAAAAUUACUGAGUGGCCUACCACAGUGCAAAAAAAAUUGGCGGACUCUUUUUUCUCCCCCUCUUUCCACCGAUCUUUUUUCCCUCACCCUCUUACUUCUUUCUCCUAGGUUGUCCCGGUUGUUCCUCUCGAGCUCAUUUUGUUUACUUCGCUUUUCGCCUUCGCACAGUUCGGCUAUUCUUUGGUUCGGUUCGGUUGUGUUUUCUUCUUCUACUACUCCUCUUCAUCUCAUCUCCGCUGCACACACGCUCCUUUUGUUUGUAAGGCCGGUGUUGGUUUAUUUAGAACUUUUUCUGUGUUAGUGCUUGUGUGCUGAGGCAAUUCCAAUUAUUUAGAACUCCUGCAUGGAACAAGCGUGAGGGAACCUGUUCCUGCGUGUACAGCCGGAGCCACGGUGUCACGAUUAUCUGUUUCAGCUCACAACGUUUUAUAAACGUGAUACUUCCAACAUGGACAGCGCCAAACGACCCAAGCUACUUGUGUCGAUUAAAAAUGGAGCAUACAAAUUGCUCCCGUUAAACAAUAAUAAUUCAAUAAACAACAUCACACCUACCACAAUGCUUCAUCCGCAAUUAUUGAAUGAGCUUUCAUCGUUAUCGUCAGUGUCUAUCCAUACUGGAAGUCAAAACAUGGCUCGCGAGAAUGCUUCAUCGUCAAAACAAACUGUAUCAAGCGAUAAACGCAAGCCGGUUUCUCGUACGAAUAAUGCAAUGGUAGACAAUGUACCGUCCACAUCGAUGGUAGUUCGUUCUUCUUUGGAUCACUUCUCGUUUAUGGAAACAACUGCAUCAACUUCGGGUGCUAGUCAACGAAAACCUAAACGUAUAUUAUUAUAUUAUUUGCUGUAAAAUACUAUAUGAACGUUUAUUUUCAGCCCUUUCAUCUACUGCUUCUAUGGCAACGCAAACGGAUUUUUCUAGUGGACAGAACGUGGGAUUAGAUGCCAUACUAGAUAAAUUGGACACCAUGCAGAGGGAGAAACAAAGACAGGCAGACAUGUAUCAUAAGAAAAUGCUGGAUAUGGAAGCAGCAGAAAUUAGUAAGAGCACAGUUAGAUAUUUUAUCCGACAAAUUGAUUCCACGGCCAGGAUUUGUUGCGGAAUCGUCGUUUGAAUGGGAAACGGUGGGGACCAGGGAAGAACUAGAUCGAACCCUACGGACAAAGAGUGGCUAAUUUUUAUCAUGGUGUGCGUAAAAACCUAGAGUUAAGCCGAUGGAAGAUUUCCUAGGCUUAAAAAAGGGGGCGGGAACGGGUAGCACGGUUCUCUCCCGCUCCCAUACAUAAUACACGGUGCGCUCUCUCAAUGCUCGUGCCCAUGCGCGAGCAUCCUUUCGUGUGCUUGUGUUUGUUUCUUUCGUGUUGCGCUGUGUGCGUUUCUUUCGUAUUUUUUUGUUAUGUAAAGCUAAACAAAAACACAAACACGCGUAGAUCUUUUUUUCAUCACUUUAUUGAAACAUUUACAUUUUAACUUUACACGAUUUCACACAUUUACGUAAGUUGAUACACAAUAUUUGACUAAAAUAAAAUUGAUCGCUCCAUCGAUGCAAACGUUGAAAUGGCCGAAUAUCUGUGUAGAUCCUUUUGUACACGUUGAUUACUGUAAAAAGGUACGAAAUGAAGCUGCGCGAUGUACAUAACAUGCAUUACGAAUCAUUCGCGCAGCUUCAUUUGAAUUCGCACAACACUUGAACACUUGAACACUUUACAAAAUCAUAACAUCAAUCGUCCAGGACUUAGGCUGACGCACGUGCGGCCGCUCGCUGCCGAUCCUUGAGCUGUACUGACGAUUUCGUGUGGUAGCAAGAACGAGAGCACACAGAGGAACUUUCGGUGCAGCAGUGCAAGCGAGACACCGACAUCAGCACAGCGCUGCGAGCAGAUCAAACUGAGCGCACUGGCGGAAAGUAAACGCACACAUGUCCACAUGUGUAACUGUGUUAGUGCCAAAACUGUGUCGAAACCAAAACGCGCUCUCGCCUCCGUGUAUUUCACACCGAUUCUCCGCUUAACUCUAGGUUUUUACACACACCAUGAUAAAAUAUCCCGCUCGUUGUUUGUAGGGAAUGGAGGAAAGAUUGGGGGAAACAGAGUUAAAAAAAAAAAUGGAAUUUUUAGAUACAAAGCUGCCGACCGACAGUUCAGAAGCUAGACUCCAUGAUAGCAUGGACAUUAUAUUCAAAAAGGAUUUUGUAACACACUGGACAGGAUUAGGACCAGAUUAAGUUUGUUUUUCAAAUUAUGAAAGCGUUGUUCAGAUUUUUAAAUUUAUAGGAACAUGUCAUGGAGUUUCACCCACGGACCAAAGAAUCAAAACAUUUUUCCAAAGUUGAUUUGUGUAGGUGUUAAUUUUUUUCUUACACCAACAUACUAAACAUCCAGGCCAUCAGCAUUCUUUUUGUUAUACCUAAAUCUAUCAAAUGCAGAGAAUCUGCCACAAUCAUUUGUAUGAUGAUGUCAAACUCAUAUAAAUCCAAAAGAGGUGAAUCUAGUUUUUGAUGAUCACCGUAAGCUCGGUUUUUGAAACCUUCAUGUGUUCUAUCUGGGCCAGCGGUGUCCGAGUAUGCGUUUCUUCCAUUGAUGUAUUUUCUUUUCGAAGUGCACUUUAAGCAGCCAUCUAACGAGUUGAAAUAAGCAACACCUUUUGAAAAAGAAAAAUUGUUGUUCAAAAUUUGUUACCCUAAUGCUUUUGAAUAUUAUUUUAUUUGAAUAGUUACCUUUUAUAAAAGCUCUUGAAGGAGAAUUGGCGAUAAUAGCACGUAAUUUGAUGUUAAACUUCUUGUUUUUUACAAACACACCAUUUUUUGUGAGAAAAUUAACCUCAUCUACAAAAGGUCGGAGAAAUUGUUCUAUGCUGGCUGGUUUUGUUGCUCCACAAUAUAUUGAAAUUGGCAUGACUGGUAUUUCCGGCAUUCCAUGAAUGUUAAAAAUAGGUUAAAAAUAGGUAAAAAUUGUAGAUUGUUGCUUUUGGCAAUUGGCAAUCCGUCUAUUGACACGUUCAGUAAAAUUGUUUUAUCAGCUUCAAAGUUUACAUCGCUACAAAUUAGAAAACAUAACGAUAUGUAAUACUUAUACAUGAGAAUGAAUUUGUUUACAUCCAGAAAUAUUACCUUAACUCGUUGGUGAAGCAAUUUUGAAUCCCACGAUACCAAUACUGUCCACCUUGCACGGUAAUAAUUUCCGAAGAGCGAUUGCGGUUGAUUUUUAGCAAAGUUCUAGCAUCUUUUAGCAAUUUGCAAGAACUUACUUUACCGAUUAUACCCAUGAUUUGUUCGAUGGAAUCAUAUGUUUGAUUUGUAGACAUCGCCCACGUUUGAAAAGCUUCUUUUACGGAGAAUGGUUCGUUUGAUGUUUCUUGUUCCUCGUCAGAGCUUUCGAGAUAAUCGAUUACAGCCUCUUCUUCCUCAGCGUAUUCAGUAGUUUCAUGAUCAUCUUCAACAUAAUCAUGUUCCACAAGAAAACUGUCGUCUGAGGAUGUAGCACCAACAUCUGGCGUAUGUGCAUUAUCUGUAAAGCAAAAUAAACCAUGUUUAAUAAAAAGUACAAGCAAACUUCAUGAUUUUCAUCAUACCAUUUUCUCUUUCACUGAUAUUAUUUUCUUCUAGCUGGUCUUGCUCCACUAUACGGUUACGGGUACGAAACAAAUAUGAGUUGAGCCGAAUACGCUUCGAGAAUGAUUGGUCCAUCCUAAUUUUGAUAAAAUCAAGGCUAGAAACCACUAGAUUAUCGCAAUAACGCACGCAAUUUAACUCGUUAGAUGUUCUGUAUGUUUAGAUUUUGUUCAUUUGCGCGCGAUUGUGGUGUGACAGCAGCGACAUAAACACAGACACUAUGGACAAGAGAACAACAUCAACAAUAUCAAUAUUGGCCUUGUGUGGUAUAAAACUAAAAAAUCUUUUAUUUUAGUCUGAAUUGUUAUAAUAAUUGUUUGUAAAAUAACUUUAAAUAAUGUUACCGUGUUAUAUUGAAGGCUGGUCUCGUAGUACAGUCGUCAACUCGUACGAUUUAACAACAUGCCCAUCAUGGGUUCAAGCCCCAAAUAGACCGUGCCGCCAUACGUAGGAUUGACUAUCCUGCUAUGGGGGGAAAUCAAAUAGUCACUGAAAGCCAAACCCACAAGAGGUAAAGGCAGGCCUAGACCGAGAACGGUUGUUGAGCCAAAGAAGACGAAGAGAAGUUAUAUUGAAGAAAUGGCUUGAUUUAUCUCACUAUAUAUAAAAUCGAAAAUCGCCACAAUGACGUGAGAGUAAACAUUCAGCGAGAGAGAGAGAGAGAGAAAGCGGUGAGAGCAGAGCUCUCUUAGCAACGCGCGUUGCUGCGAAAGGACUUGCUCCAUGCCACACUGCCAGCCCGCGGGUAAUGAGGGGAAUGGUUACUUAGAUUUUUUGUUUACACAAACCGAUUUGAAAACACAUGGUAUUGGAUAUAAUGAUUUUUUUUAAAUUAAAGUUGCAAAUUAGCCACCUGAUGAUAACGUGUCCCAUCUCAUACCCCUUCUCAUUAUAAAUCAAGAUAUUCAAGGCAAUAUUUAAAAAAAAAUUUUGAAAACUGUGUAACAUAGCUUAUUUGUGACAUGGCUGAUAUUCCAAUUCAUUCAAUCAUUAAUAAAGCCAACCAUACUCAUUAUUGGUGCUUAAGCACCUCGCAUACUACAUACACCGUCGUCAUCGGCAGAUAAGUGUGCUACAGAAUAUCCUGUAAAACGGGUUGCUAUACCCAGGACGUCGAGCAUGUUCACUCCCUCAAAUCUUUUUCUAUUUGGCGUAACGUCCUGUGCGGACAUGCCGCCCUGUAUAGGUUUUCGAGACUUAAUUCAUUAACACGUAGCCGGAUAAUCAAUCCUUGCUACGGGGGGACGGUCCAUGGGCUUGAACCCAUGACGGGCAUGUUAUUGAGUCGUUCGAGUCGACGACCACGUACCACGGGACCGCCCCAAAUCUACUACUCCCUCAAAUCUACUACUCCGCAAUAUUGGAGUCGGGACAAGGAAAACGCAUGACAAUAAGCGGCAGAUGUAGCCGAGAGACCCUAAGCGGCCAUAUACUAAAAAGCCUUGCUGAAAUUCCGAGCAAGAAAGCGGCGGAUGUUGGUGGCUUGAAAGUUAAAAUUGAAUUUGUAACGAUUUGCUCGCGGGUGGGAAGAACUACUUAUUUCAGGAUGUCCUUCCGGAACAAGGCACUAAAGGGAGAGAUGGUUCAUUGCCCAACAUGGCUGCAACAUACUGCGCGUUAGGUGAGACAACCGUGCGCACUGCAUUUAGCCGGAUUAGCAUCAACUGCAGAAUGAUUGACAAUGAAACUAUGCUCAAUGUAACGUGCCCAAGAAGGCUGCAAAGAUUCUGACUGUAUCUAUCAAGAGUGAUGGCGAUAUCUACCAUGUGAUGCUAUAACCGUACUAUGAUGUUGAUUAAGAACAACCACGUUAUAAUCAAGGACACGUCAAAUUAGAAGCAAAAUCUGAAAAAUGUGGGUCGUCAAGAGUAAAUAAAGUAGUUUGCAAGUAAA